GACGAACGCUGUCGGCGUGCUUAACACAUGCAAGUCGAACGGAAAGGCCCUGCUUUUGUGGGGUGCUCGAGUGGCGAACGGGUGAGUAACACGUGAGUAACCUGCCCUUGACUUUGGGAUAACUUCAGGAAACUGGGGCUAAUACCGGAUAGGAGCUCCUGCUGCAUGGUGGGGGUUGGAAAGUUUCGGCGGUUGGGGAUGGACUCGCGGCUUAUCAGCUUGUUGGUGGGGUAGUGGCUUACCAAGGCUUUGACGGGUAGCCGGCCUGAGAGGGUGACCGGCCACAUUGGGACUGAGAUACGGCCCAGACUCCUACGGGAGGCAGCAGUGGGGAAUAUUGCACAAUGGGCGGAAGCCUGAUGCAGCAACGCCGCGUGCGGGAUGACGGCCUUCGGGUUGUAAACCGCUUUCGCCUGUGACGAAGCGUGAGUGACGGUAAUGGGUAAAGAAGCACCGGCUAACUACGUGCCAGCAGCCGCGGUGAUACGUAGGGUGCGAGCGUUGUCCGGAUUUAUUGGGCGUAAAGGGCUCGUAGGUGGUUGAUCGCGUCGGAAGUGUAAUCUUGGGGCUUAACCCUGAGCGUGCUUUCGAUACGGGUUGACUUGAGGAAGGUAGGGGAGAAUGGAAUUCCUGGUGGAGCGGUGGAAUGCGCAGAUAUCAGGAGGAACACCAGUGGCGAAGGCGGUUCUCUGGGCCUUUCCUGACGCUGAGGAGCGAAAGCGUGGGGAGCGAACAGGCUUAGAUACCCUGGUAGUCCACGCUGUAAACGGUGGGUACUAGGUGUGGGGUCCAUUCCACGGGUUCCGUGCCGUAGCUAACGCUUUAAGUACCCCGCCUGGGGAGUACGGCCGCAAGGCUAAAACUCAAAGGAAUUGACGGGGCCCCGCACAAGCGGCGGAGCAUGCGGAUUAAUUCGAUGCAACGCGUAGAACCUUACCUGGGUUUGACAUGGAUCGGGAGUGCUCAGAGAUGGGUGUGCCUCUUUUGGGGUCGGUUCACAGGUGGUGCAUGGCUGUCGUCAGCUCGUGUCGUGAGAUGUUGGGUUAAGUCCCGCAACGAGCGCAACCCUUGUUCACUGUUGCCAGCACGUUAUGGUGGGGACUCAGUGGAGACCGCCGGGGUCAACUCGGAGGAAGGUGGGGAUGACGUCAAGUCAUCAUGCCCCUUAUGUCCAGGGCUUCACGCAUGCUACAAUGGCUGGUACAGAGAGUGGCGAGCCUGUGAGGGUGAGCGAAUCUCGGAAAGCCGGUCACAGUUCGGAUUGGGGUCUGCAACUCGACCUCAUGAAGUCGGAGUCGCUAGUAAUCGCAGAUCAGCAACGCUGCGGUGAAUACGUUCCCGGG
rnacentral:rRNA from 1 species